GAUGAACGCUGGCGGCGUGCCUAAUACAUGCAAGUCGAGCGAACAGACGAGGAGCUUGCUCCUCUGACGUUAGCGGCGGACGGGUGAGUAACACGUGGAUAGCCUACCUAUAAGACUGGGAUAACUUCGGGAAACCGGAGCUAAUACCGGAUAAUAUAUUGAACCGCAUGGUUCAAUAGUGAAAGACGGUUUUGCUGUCACUUAUAGAUGGAUCCGCGCCGCAUUAGCUAGUUGGUAAGGUAACGGCUUACCAAGGCAACGAUGCGUAGCCGACCUGAGAGGGUGAUCGGCCACACUGGAACUGAGACACGGUCCAGACUCCUACGGGAGGCAGCAGUAGGGAAUCUGCCGCAAUGGGCGAAAGCCUGACGGAGCAACGCCGCGUGAGUGAUGAAGGUCUUCGGAUCGUAAAACUCUGUUAUUAGGGAAGAACAAAUGUGUAAGUAACUAUGCACGUCUUGACGGUACCUAAUCAGAAAGCCACGGCUAACUACGUG
rnacentral:rRNA from 1 species